rnacentral:rRNA from 1 species
GAAGUAAAAGUCGUAACAAGGUUUCCGUAGGUGAACCUGCGGAAGGAUCAUUAUUGAAAUAAACCUGAUGGGUUGUUGCUGGUUCUCUAGGGAGCAUGUGCACACCUUGUCAUCUUUAUAUCUCCACCUGUGCACUUUUUGUAGACCUUUCAGGUCUAUGUUGCUUCAUUUACCCCAAUGUAUGUUAAUAGAAUGUUGUGCCUAUAUAAUAUAUACAACUUUCAGCAACGGAUCUCUUGGCUCUCGCAUCGAUGAAGAACGCAGCGAAAUGCGAUAAGUAAUGUGAAUUGCAGAAUUCAGUGAAUCAUCGAAUCUUUGAACGCACCUUGCGCUCCUUGGUAUUCCGAGGAGCAUGCCUGUUUGAGUGUCAUUAAUAUAUCAACCUUCUCUUUUUUGAGUUGUUUGGAUGUGGGGGUUUGCUGGCCUCUUAAAUGAUUCAGCUCCCCUGAAAUGCAUUAGCAGAACAACCUGUUCAUUGGCGUGAUAAUUAUCUAUGCUAUUGAAUGUGAGGGCAGUUCAGCUUUCUAACCGUCCUUGGACAAUUCAUCAUUAAUGUGACCUCAAAUCAGGUAGGACUACCCGCUGAACUUAAGCAUA